UUCGGUCUUCAAGUCGUAUUAGAAAAACAUUGCCAUUGAAUAGAAUACACAUAUUUGUUAACAUAUUUUUUUUCUUUUCGCAAAAUACUCAAUAUUUAUAGAGUUAUAGCAAAUUAAAAAUGCAAUUCACUGACUUGUGAUUCAAACGCUCCGGAAUCACCCGAGUUUACCCGAACUCGCUCGUGACGUCACGGGGUUGUUGCCGAAAGCAACAGUACGCGUAAUACAUGGUACGUAAUACAUGUUCGCUUGUAUUCGCUUACUUUUUACUUGUAUUAAGAAAAAUGAGCAAACCGACGGGUUAUCGGUGGUGUUUUGUGCCUAUGUGCAAACACACAAGCAAAAAUUCACCUAGUAAAGUUUUCGUGACAGUGCCACGGGACGAAAACAAACGGAGGUUAUGGUUUCGGGUAGCACGACGGCCUGAUGAACCAACACAAUCAAACUACUUUUGUUGUGAGGAUCAUUUUGACCUAAAAAACGAUAUGGAUAAUUAUGUGCGCUUCUGUUUAAUGGGUGGACCAAUAAAACUGAAAUCUGGAGUUGUGCCACACAUUUUUACUUGUCAACCUGACAGGAAGCGAACAGCAAAUUAUCCCCCUCGUCUUGCUUCUGAAAAGCGAAGACGUAAAGCAGAGAUUUCUGAUAUUUUGGCUAUUGCUGAAAAGUCCACAUUGUCAGAUAUCGAACAGACGGAAGAUAGAACACCGAAUAUUCCAAUAGCAAGUGAAACAAUGGUUCAAUCUGUAGAAGUAGAAAAUACAAACUUAGAUAGUCUUGCCAGCACAUGUCCUAAUGCUGAUACAAUCCAUAGAAGUUUUCAUCAUAAAGGAGUACAAGUUAACAUACGCCCACACGUUCGUAGUAAAUAUGUAUCUUGCAAUAUUACAGUUCCCAUGUCUAAUGCAAGUUGUUCCCCGAUUAAGCUUCAAAGUAUUUCUCCAUCUGUAAAAAUUAUUCCAAGUACUAGCAAACAGUUAAGUACAGAUGCUUCGUCGAUGUUGGUAUCAUCUUCUACCUUACAUUGUACAACUUCGAGCGAUUUUGAGCCUUAUUCAGAUGAAGCAAAAGAGAUUGAAAAGAAUAAACGACAACAAAUGCAAUCUAAUGCACUUUCGAUUACAAAUUAUUUUAUUAGUACUAAUACUAAAAGUUAUCUCGGUAUUCUAAAUGAAUGGUACUGGAUUGUAGACCUCUUACACUCACAGACUAAGAUUCUGCCAGAUCAUAUUAAAUUAACGUUAAUGAAAAUAAAAAUAAAUGACACCUUUCAUAGAUUAGGGGAACAAUUUGGAAUAUCACAUGCUCAAGCCAGCAACAUAUUCAACUCCACUGUACCGCGUUUGGCUCACAUGUUAAAAACUCUGAUAUACUUCCCAGACCCAAUGAGUAUAAGAAAAGCUUUGCCAAUUCCAUUUCGAGCUAAUUAUGCUAAUGUACAAUCGAUAAUUGAUUGUUUUGAAAUACAGAUCCAAAAGCCAACAAAUUCUGUACAUCAAGCUCUUACUUGGUCAGAAUACAAAAAAUGCAAUACUCUAAAAUAUUUGAUAUCAUCAACACCUGAUGGGUUUAUCAAUUUUGUCUCUACGGGUUACGGAGGUAGAAUCAGUGAUACACUACUUACUGAACAAUCUGGAUUUUUAAAUGUCUUACCGGAUGGAUGUGGCGUUAUGGCUGACCGAGGAUUUAAACAAAUCCAGAGUCUUCUCAAUAAAAAAAAAUGCAUCCUUAUUCGUCCUCCCACUGUUACUGCUGGUGUAAAACCCUCUAAGGCCGAAGUUUUAGAAACUAAACGCAUUGCAAGUUUACGUAUACAUAUUGAGCGUGUGAUUAGACGAUUAAGGGAAUAUGAAAUGCUGAAACCGCAUGUAUGUAUUCAUCAUAACCUUCUGCGUCAUACAGAUUUGAUAGUACUUAUUGCAUCGGCAUUAAUUAAUUUGCAAACUCCGAUAAUAAAAACAUGAAAAUCAUAAUACGAAAGUAAAGGACAAAUUGCAUAACUGAAAGAAAAGAAACAAACAACAUUUGUGACAUCUUCAUUGUGUAAUUUUGUUUAUUCUGUAAAGAUACAUAUAAAUAUAUUGAUAUGAGAUUCUUAAACUUUUGUGUACAUUAUUUUUGGAAAAAUAAAACGUUUCCAGAAAGCUACAGCGUUUUCUAUUAUGGAAUUCAUGAAAUCCUCAUUAUAAUUUUCCCAAACAAUUGUUACUUGUCUAGAUUCUUCAAAAUUUGGAUCUGCGACGCAAAAGAGGCCUCUUCUUUUACCAGAGGCAAACAUUUGCAUAUGUAUUUGCGCUUUACAUUUAUUAUUGAUUUUUCCGGAUGGCAAAAAUUGCUGAAACGUUUUUGAGGAUGAUGGACACUUUACUUCGACAACAAAAUUGUCGCCCAAGGCAUCAGGCGAUGCUCCUAAUACUGGAAAUGAUGUGUGCUGCUUCGUAGAUUCUUGACGCUGUAAUUCUGCCAUAACGAAGCUCAUGCCAAGAGGUGUCACUCUGAGAUCUGGUACACUCUUCUGCCAUGCGACACAAAUCUUCAGACAUUGCUUUACUAGCAUAUUCCAAAAAAAUAUCCGCGCAACUAGAUCCUGUUUGACAAAAAUUCAUUAAUAAUUGAUGUAUUGACAAACACAUCAAUUUUCGGUUUUCCAAUACAAAAUUGUGUC